AGUUCCUACGGGACGCAGCAGUGGGGAAUAUUGCACAAUGGGGGAAACCCUGAUGCAGCGACGCCGCGUGAGCGAAGAAGUACCUCGGUAUGUAAAUCUCUAUCAGCAGGGAAGAAGAUGACGGUACCUGACCAAGAAGCUCCGGCUAAAUACGUGCCAGCAGCCGCGGAAAUACGGAUGGAGCAAGCGUUAUCCGGAGUUAGUGGGGGGAAAGGGAGCGCAGGCGGCCUUGCAAGGCUGAUGGGAAAGGCCG
rnacentral:rRNA from 1 species